ensembl:lncRNA
CUUGAAGUCAAUUCUGAUCGUUUCCUGACUUGGAACAUGGUGCUUUAUCCACAAACAUACCAUAUCCCCUCCUGUUGGUGUACGCCUCUGUCUGGUCUCUUAACCAAACAGCUCAGUAAACACUUGCAAAUUCAAGAGGAGAGAAGAGGCUGCUAAUUGAAAGUCCUGCAUUAUCAGAACAUCUGGAAAGGAAAAUUAAGAGCAACAAGCACCAAACCCGAGCCAAGAGGAAAGCUGGGGUUCUUGGAUGUAGGCAGAUAGUUGUUUGAAUGUUUCUCCAGCACUCAUUGCAGACGUAGUUAACCAAGGGCUGCAACAAGUUGUAAGUUAAGGGGGGUUACUCCAAAGUGGGCUGUGCCCUACUCUGUUAGCGGUGUGCUCUCUGCACUCCAUCCUAGGAAGAAGGAAACCAUCACCCCGCACUGCUACAUGCGCAGUAAGGGGAGCGGAGCUGUACACUGCAGGCACAGUGGGGAGGAUCCUGUGGGGGACCAAGAGAGCUCAUUUCCUAGACAGAGCACUGAGAUGUCAUGAAUGCCUGUGUGCUAUACUCACCUUCCCCAUGGUACCGGGUGUUCUGGGUGCCUACUGAUGGCAGGAGAGCACCCUCAGCCCCACUGAGAUGUGGGGCACUGUGGUACAGAGGCAGAUCCAGGCUCUCCUGGCUUUCUAGCACCUGUGCCUCAACCACGAGGCCAAAUGCAUACUGAAGGUACCUGUAUUUUACUGCCCCCCUCUUCUGCAUUAAUUAAAACACAUCACUGCACACUUAAGCAAUUUGAAUGUUUUGGAACAAGUCUCGGGACAGCCAAGGGCAUUCAAAGUGAGGAGAAGGCUGGCAGCUUGCCUUCAGCUCUCCGGCUUACCUUGUCUAUCAGCAGCACACAUCACGCAUUGCAAAACUGUGAGAUCUCUGCAGACCCAGAAACAAUGCUCUGGAGGAGAACACAAGGCUCAAGGCAGAGAUCCUCGGUCUUCCUGGGGCUCCAUGACACUGACCGGCUGCCAACAUCUCCACUGAUCUUCUUUCAGUUUUUCCUUGUUUUAUUUUAACAUCUCUCUACGAAAAGCUGGUGGGAACCGUUACUGUAGAAGUGCUCUAUCAGAAUGAUGGCUAAGGGAAAGCUCUGCUAGAUCUGGGGUACGCCUUCCUCUUGGGGAAUUUUUGGAGCUAUCUAAGGCAAGAAAGAGGGAAUUAACAGCAUGUCAAAUAAAAUUCAGGGCUCACAGAGACUCUGUUUUGCCCUUGAGGCCGUAAUGAAGGUCAGGGUAUAAGUGAACAUUCCCCCAAAGGUCUGUUUGCCUUUCCGUCACCUAUCGGUCGUCAGCAGGACACUGCAAGAGAAGAGACCUCAGGUGACCUCCAGAGCUUCUGGUGUGCUGUGGACUCCAGGCAGCAGACAGUUGACUACAGUCUAGAAUGGAAAUGAAGGACUAAUUUGCCCAGGGACAUUCCCUUUUGUAUUUUAAAGUAAUGCAAAGUGUCUUUUCACUUUCAGCUCUGGAUUUCAGGCCUAAGAUGAAGAGUCACUGCCAUUAGUUCCACACCAUCACAAUUGUAACAUCAAAACAAGCACUGUAUUAAAAAUAAACACAGCAGGCAUUCACUGGCAUGAUUAAAAUGUAUACAUAUGGGUG